AUUGAACGCUGGCGGCAGGCCUAACACAUGCAAGUCGAACGAGUGGCGGACGGGUGAGUAAUGCCUGGGAAUCUGCCUGAUGGAGGGGGAUAACUACUGGAAACGGUAGCUAAUACCGCAUACCAUCAGAUGCGCCCAGAUGGGAUUAGCUAGUUGGUGGGGUAACGGCUCACCAAGGCGACGAUCCCUAGCUGGUCUGAGAGGAUGACCAGCCACACUGGGACUGAGACACGGUCCAGACUCCUACGGGAGGCAGCAGUGGGGAAUAUUGCGCAAUGGGGGCAACCCUGAUGCAGCCAUGCCGCGUGAAUGAAGAAGGCCUUCGGGUUGUAAAGUUCUUUCGGCAGGGAGGCGUUACCCACAGAAGAAGCACCGGCUAACUCCGUGCCAGCCGCCGCGGUAAUAC
rnacentral:rRNA from 1 species